rnacentral:rRNA from 1 species
CACGUAGGGUGCGAGCGUUGUCCGGAAUUAUUGGGCGUAAAGAGCUCGUAGGCGGUCUGUCACGUCGGCUGUGAAAACCCGGAGCUCAACUCCGGGCCUGCAGUCGAUACGGGCAAACUGGAGUGUUGCAGGGGAGACUGGAAUUCCUGGUGUAGCGGUGAAAUGCGCAGAUAUCAGGAGGAACACCGGUGGCGAAGGCGGGUCUCUGGGCAACAACUGACGCUGAGGAGCGAAAGCGUGGGGAGCGAACAGG